UUGAAACUAUGAGAAACGCACCCUUGUUUGUUAUAGCAAAGCCGGGAACUUUCAAAUUCACUUACAAGAGAACCAGUUUUGAUCUCCCUUCGGAUAUGGUUUGCUUAUGACGAUCAGCUGUUCGCUUCAGCGAUUCUCUAUGUGAACAAGAAUCCGUUUAAAAAAAACUACUAAAACAUAAACAAAGCAAUGCCGGUCAUUAUGGACAUCCGUUGGACGGAUUGAGGAUUGUGCAUGGAUCUCUGUGGGUAGAGGCUAUCCUUACGGAUCUUCCGUUAAACUUUGUCGAAACUAUAAGUUAUUAAGUCAUUGUAAAUUUUGAUCCUUUUUAUUCCAAAAAUGAAACACGCUAUUUGUCGCUUGAGUAUUAAGCCUAGUAUUCAGAUCGUACUCAGAUUAGUGUGACCGAAGUUUUCAAAGUUCACCCGCAAAACAUGUGGCAU